rnacentral:rRNA from 2 species
AUGAACGCUAGCUACAGGCUUAACACAUGCAAGUCGAGGGGAAACGACAUCGAAAGCUUGCUUUUGAUGGGCGUCGACCGGCGCACGGGUGAGUAACGCGUAUCCAACCUGCCCAUCACUUGGGAAUAACCUUGCGAAAGUAAGACUAAUACCCAAUGACAUCCCACGAAGGCAUCCGAAUGGGAUUAAAGAUUUAUCGGUGAUGGAUGGGGAUGCGUCUGAUUAGCUUGUUGGCGGGGUAACGGCCCACCAAGGCAACGAUCAGUAGGGGUUCUGAGAGGAAGGUCCCCCACAUUGGAACUGAGACACGGUCCAAACUCCUACGGGAGGCAGCAGUGAGGAAUAUUGGUCAAUGGGCGAGAGCCUGAACCAGCCAAGUAGCGUGCAGGAAGACGGCCCUAUGGGUUGUAAACUGCUUUUAUAAGGGAAUAAAGUGAGUCUCGUGAGACUUUUUGCAUGUACCUUAUGAAUAAGGACCGGCUAAUUCCGUGCCAGCAGCCGCGGUAAUACGGAAGGUCCGGGCGUUAUCCGGAUUUAUUGGGUUUAAAGGGAGCGUAGGCCGGAGAUUAAGCGUGUUGUGAAAUGUAGUGGCUCAACCUCUGCACUGCAGCGCGAACUGGUCUUCUUGAGUACGCACAACGUGGGCGGAAUUCGUGGUGUAGCGGUGAAAUGCUUAGAUAUCACGAAGAACUCCGAUUGCGAAGGCAGCUCACGGGAGCGCAACUGACGCUGAAGCUCGAAAGUGCGGGUAUCGAACAGGAUUAGAUACCUGGUAGUCCGCACGGUAAACGAUGGAUGCCCGCUGUUGGCCUGAAUAGGUCAGCGGCCAAGCGAAAGCAUUAAGCAUCCCACCUGGGGAGUACGCCGGCAACGGUGCAACUCAAAGGAAUUGACGG